rnacentral:rRNA from 1 species
ACGUAGGGUGCGAGCGUUAAUCGGAAUUACUGGGCGUAAAGCGUGCGCAGGCGGCUUUGCAAGACAGAUGUGAAAUCCCCGGGCUCAACCUGGGAACUGCAUUUGUGACUGCAAGGCUAGAGUACGGCAGAGGGGGAUGGAAUUCCGCGUGUAGCAGUGAAAUGCGUAGAUAUGCGGAGGAACACCAAUGGCGAAGGCAAUCCCCUGGGCCUGUACUGACGCUCAUGCACGAAAGCGUGGGGAGCAAACAG